GUGGAUUAGAUACCCUGGUAGUCCUAGCCGUAAACGAUGGGCACUAGGUGUGGGGGGUCAUCAACUCCCUCCGUGCCGCAGCUAACGCAUUAAGUGCCCCGCCUGGGGAGUACGGCCGCAAGGCUAAAACUCAAAGGAAUUGACGGGGGCCCGCACAAGCAGCGGAGCAUGUGGCUUAAUUCGAAGCAACGCGAAGAACCUUACCAGGGCUUGACAUGCAGAUUAAAGCGGCGGAAACGUCGUGUCCGAGAGGGAUCUGCACAGGUGGUGCACGGCUGUCGCCAGCU
rnacentral:rRNA from 1 species